CGUUGAGGUUUAAACUUAUUCAGAUGUGUCUACUUUUUGUGUUUCAAAUGUCUGGUUAUGUAAUGUAUUUCAGUUGUUUCCUGUAAUUAGUUAAUACUUCAGUUUUAUCAUGUACAUCUUUUGUAUAGUCAUUUUAUAAAAUUUACUGUUUGCAAAAGUAUAAAUUAUUCUAAAUAAUAGGGAUGUUCUGGUAACUAACAGAAAACCCUGGCCGUUUUUGGCACAACUUUUUUGAUCUAUUGGUCCUCGAUGCUGUUCAACUUUGUACUUGUUUCGGCUUUCAAACUUUUUGUAUCUGGGCGUCACUAGUAGGUCUUGUGUGGACAAAAUGCACUUCUGGUGUAUUAAAAUUUUGAACUUGUUGCCUUUUGUUGGCUGUUGUUCGUGUGUUUCUUUGUCAAUUGUGUUCUCCAAUUUAUUUAUAUUGUAGUCCUGUGGUGUUGUGUUGUCAUUUUGAUGUUAUAUUUCACAUGGCUAUAAAAGAGGGAGGUUUGGCAUGCACCACAACCAGGUUCAACCACCAUUUUUUCCUUUAAAAAUGUCCUGUACCAAGUCAGGAAUAUGGCCAUUGUUAUAUUAUAGUUCGUUUCUGUGUGUGUUACAUUUUAACGUUGCGUCGUUUGUUUUCUCUUAUUUUUGGGUGUUAAUUCACAUUGCGAUAAGACGUGUCACGGUACUUGUCUAUCCCAAAUUCAUGUAUUUGGUUUUGAUGUUAUAUUUAUUAUUCUCGUGGGAUUUUGUCUGAUGCUUGGUCCGUUUCUGUGUGUGUUACAUUUUAGUGUUGUGUCGUUGUUCUCUUAUAUUUAAUGUGUUUCCCUCAGUUUUGGUUUGAUACCCCGAUUGUGU
rnacentral:lncRNA from 1 species